rnacentral:tRNA from 1 species
CGGGAUGUGGCUCAGCUUGGUAGAGCGCUUGGUUUGGGACCAAGAUGCCGCAGGUUCAAAUCCUGUCAUCCCGACCA